rnacentral:rRNA from 1 species
AACGAACGCUGGCGGCAUGCCUAACACAUGCAAGUCGAACGAGACCUUCGGGUCUAGUGGCUCUCGGGUGCGUCACGUGUGGGAACCUUCCCUUAGACUCGGGAUAAUUCUCCUACAGGGGGGCUAAUACCGGAUAAUGUCCUCUGAUAAAAGAUUGAUCGCCCUUGGAUGGGCCCGCGUUGGUUUAGCAAGUUGGUAGGGUAAAAGCCUACCAAGGCGUCGAUCCAUAGCUGGGCUGAGAGGCAGGACAGCCACCCUGGGUCUGUGAACCGGCCCGGAAUCCUACGGGAGGCAGCAAUGGGGGAUAUUGGACAAUGGGCGAAAGCCUGAUCGAGCAAUGCCGCGUGAGUGAUGAAGUCCUGAGGGUUAUAAAGCUCGUUUACCCGGGGUGGUAAUGACGGUACCGGAAGAAUAAGCACCGGCUAACUCCGUG